rnacentral:rRNA from 1 species
CCUACGGGAGGCUGCAGUGAGGAAUAUUGGUCAAUGGGCGCGAGCCUAAACCAGCCAAGUCGCGUGAGGGAAGACGGCCCUAUGGAUUGUAAACCUCUUUUGUCGGGGAGCAAAAGACGCCACGCGUGGCGUUCCGAGAGUACCCGAAGAAAAAGCAUCGGCUAACUCCGUGCCAGCAGCCGCGGUAAUAGGGGGGAUGCGCGCGUUAUCCGGAUUUAUUGGGGUAAAAGGGUGCGCAGGCGGAAGAUCAAGUCAGUGGUAAAAUCGCGAGGCUAAACCUCUGCCAGCCGUUGAAACUGGUUUGCUUGAGGGAGCGAGAGGUAUGCGGAAUGCGUGGGGUAGCGGUGAAAUGCAUAGAUAUCACGCAGAACUCCGGUGGCGAAGGCAGCAUACCGGCGCGCAACUGACGCUCAGGCACGAAAGUGUGGGUAUCGAACAGGAUUAGAUACCCUGGUAGUC